ACCGGCCCCAAACCAGCCCGGGAUGGGCCGGCACCGACCACAUGGCCCUGGCACCGGCCCCGUGGCCCCCAGACUGGCCCCACACUGACCCCACAGCCACGGGACUGGCCCCAAGGCCUGCCCCAAACCGACCCCACAGCCACGGGACUGGCCCCAAACCAGCCCCACGGCGCCAGGGCCAGGGCCACACUGACCCCGUGGACCCCAGCCUGGCCCCACCCCACGGCCACAUGAUCAGCCCCACAAGUGACCCUACAGCCCCAGGAGCAGUCCUAAACCCACUCCAGCCCCCCACUCUCCCCUCAGCCCCCCACAGGCCAUGGAGAUCCCAGGCCCAAGCUCCACCACACCAAAGUGGUGGAGAUGAAGAAGGACCUGGGCAGCAUCUUCCCAGGAGGGAACAGAUUCGGGUCCGCCUGUGGGGUGCCCUGCAGCACCACGUGAGGGGCUGAGCUAUGAGAGCCAAAGGGAAACCCCCCCUUCUGGCUCUUCCCACAGGUGUGAAACACAGCAUGAGUCCACCAGCACCACGGACAGACCCCCGGGAGAGCCAGAGCGAUGGUGGGAACGCGUUCCUUAAG